rnacentral:lncRNA from 1 species
UUGGGGUGCCCUCACCCACCCGUCCGCCCCGCAGUGCGACAUGCAGAAGCUGACGGUGGACGAGCUGAAGCGGCUGCUGUACGACACCUUCUGCGAGCACCUCUCCAUGAAGGACAUCGAGAACAUCAUCAUGACGGAGGAGGAGAGCCACAUGGGCACGGCCGAGGAGUGCCCGGUGGACGUGGAGACCUGCUCCAGCCAGCAGAUCCGGCAGACGUGCGUGCGCAAAAGCCUCAUCUGCGCCUUCGCCAUCGCCUUCAUCAUCAGCGUCAUGCUCAUCGCCGCCAACCAGGUGCUGCGCAGCGGCAUGAAGUAGGACCAGGGGACACCAGGGGACACCGGGGGACACCGGGGGACACCCUCCUCCCCCCCAAAAAAAACCUCCCACCCCGGCACAGGGGUGGGGAGCCCGCGGGGCUGCUCGCGCGACGCCCGGACUGCGGCAGAGCCCCGGAACCCCGCCAGCAAGUACCAAGUGCAUGCACCGUGCAUGGAGCCCGCCCGCUGCCCCCCCCAAAACCCCGAGCCGGGGGCGAAAUGUGCCCGCGGUGCCGGCCCCGCCCUUGCACCCCCCCUGCUGCACCACGUCCAGCCCCUGCAGCUCCGUAUUUAUGGCCGAACCGAGCGCCCCGUGAGCAAUACACGCGCCUGAGAUCUGUAUUUUUGUUCCCAAUUCGGAGAGGGGGGGGCGUUUGCAUGGACCUCGCCGCCAAAGGCUGGAUCUGCCCCCCCCCGCCUCCGCCGUGCACCCCCCCCAGCCCCGCGCCGUGCCUCAGUUUCCCCAGCUGCCAGAGGGGGCUGCCCGCACGAGGACCCGCUGGGAAGAGCCGCACGUCCCGGCAGCCUGGGGACCCCCCCAUCCAACCCCCCCCCCGCCCGUAUGUAGCACCCGCCGGGCCCCGGCCCGGUUUGGAUUUGGGUCCGUUUCUCAUUCUUUGGAGUUCCGUUCUUAUUUUAUUUUUUCCUUCCUGGUCGGUCGUUUCCGAUCUGAAAUAAAACCAGGAUUUCUGAACUGCUCGGGGACGCUCGGGGGGCGCAGGGCACCCAUGGGUGCUGCGACCCAGCUCUGUCAAGGCCACGCGGGACCUGUGGGACACCACCAGGACCCCCCCAGCUCCUGGUUUAUUUAUGGGGGGGGGGGUCUGCCCCCCAUGCUGGGCGACGCCGUCCCGCUAAUGAGAACAUCCCACUAAUGAGAGCACCCUGGAAAUCCCCUCUCCGUGCGCUCCGGGGGGGGUCCUGCACCCGCCUGAUGGAUAGCCCUCCCCGAGCCCCCAGAUGAUGCAUUUUUAAUGGCAAAUAGAUUAAAAUAAUAAAUAAAAACCCGGGGAGC